rnacentral:sRNA from 1 species
CACCGAUGGACGCCCAGUCAUGACAGA